rnacentral:rRNA from 1 species
AUUGAACGCUGGCGGAAUGCUUUACACAUGCAAGUCGAACGGCUGCACGGACUUCGGUCUGGUGGCGAGUGGCGAACGGGUGAGUAACAUAUCGGAACGUAUCCAAUAAUGGGGGAUAACUAAUCGAAAGGUUGGCUAAUACCGCAUACGCCCUACGGGGGAAAGCAGGGGAUCUUCGGACCUUGCGUUAAUGGAGCGGCUGAUAUCUGAUUAGCUAGUUGGUGAGGUAAAGGCUCACCAAGGCGACGAUCAGUAGCUGGUCUGAGAGGACGACCAGCCACACUGGAACUGGGACACGGUCCAGACUCCUACGGGAGGCAGCAGUGGGGAAUUUUGGACAAUGGGCGCAAGCCUGAUCCAGCCAUUCCGCGUGAGUGAAGAAGGCCUUCGGGUUGUAAAGCUCCUUCGCAAGGGAAGAAAACUUACUUACUAAUAAAGAGUGAGGUUGACGGUACCUUGAUAAGAAGCACCGGCUAACUACGUGCCAGCCGCCGCGGUAA